rnacentral:rRNA from 1 species
UUGAUGGAGAGUUUGAUUCUGGCUCAGAAUGAACGCUGGCGGCGUGCUUAACACAUGCAAGUCGAACGGACGAGUGGAGCUUGCUCCAUGAGUUAGUGGCGAACGGGUGAGUAACACGUGAGCAACCUGCCCCGAAGAUUGGGAUAACACCGGGAAACCGGUGCUAAUACCGAAUACCUUCCUCAUAUCGCAUGAUGAGAGGAAGAAAUGUUUUUUCGCUUCGGGAGGGGCUCGCGGUCCAUCAGCUUGUUGGCGGGGUAACGGCCCACCAAGGCGACGACGGAUAGCUGGUCUGAGAGGACGAUCAGCCACACUGGAACUGAGACACGGUCCAGACUCCUACGGGAGGCAGCAGUGGGGAAUCUUGCGCAAUGGGCGAAAGCCUGACGCAGCAACGCCGCGUGAGGGACGAAGGCUUUCUGAGUUGUAAACCUCUUUCGACAGGAACGAU